rnacentral:rRNA from 1 species
AUUGAACGCUGGCGGCAUGCCUUACACAUGCAAGUCGAACGGCAGCACGGGAGCAAGUCCUGGUGGCGAGUGGCGAACGGGUGAGUAAUAUAUCGGAACGUGGCCCAGUCCGUGGGGAUAACGUAGCGAAAGCUAGGCUAAUACCGCAUACGAUCUAUGGAUGAAAGCGGGGAUCGCAAGACCUCGCGCGAUUGGAGCGGCCGAUAUCAGAUUAGGUAGUUGGUGAGGUAAAGGCUCACCGAAGCCGACGAUCUGUAGCUGGUCUGAGAGGACGACCAGGCCACACUGGGACUGAGACACGGCCCAGACUCCUAC